GAUGAAGAACGUAGCGAAAUGCGAUAAGUAAUGCGAAUUGCAGAAUUUCCGUGAGUCAUCGAAUCUUUGAACGCACAUUGCGCCCGCCAGUAUUCUGGCGGGCAUGCCUGUCCGAGCGUCAUUUCAACCCUCGAACCCCUCCGGGGGUCCGGCGUUGGGGAUCGGGAACCCCUAAGACGGGAUCCCGGCCCCGAAAUACAGUGGCGGUCUCGCCGCAGCCUCUCAUGCGCAGUAGUUUGCACAACUCGCACCGGGAGCGCGGCGCGUCCACGUCCGUAAAACACCCAACUUCUGAAAUGUUGACCUCGGAUCAGGUAGGAAUACCCGCUGAACUUAAGCAUAUCAAUAAGCGGAGGA
rnacentral:misc_RNA from 1 species